CGAACGUGCGUAGCCUGCGCAUUGGUCUGGUCGUCGGCGUCGGUCGAAUCGCGGGGUGCGGGGUCCUGCGAGAUCGAAUCGGGGAGCUUCCGUAUCGAAGUCGGAGGCCGCGGGGCACAAUGCCGGGAUGGCGGAGGCGGCGCCAUGGCGAGGGGCAUAGCGCGGGCGUCGUCGUUCGGGGGCCGCGCCACCACCCCGUGGUGCUCCUGCAGGCACGUCACCGUGGAUGUCUGCCUCGGCAAACUCGUCGCCGCUCUGCUCGUGCUCCGCUCCCUCACCGCCCCCGCCCCCCGCUUCCUUCGCGCCCACCUUUCCCAACCAUUAGUUCCUAGCUAGUCCACUGAAAUAAUUCAAAGGUAAAAGAAGCUGCGGAAGAAAUUCGCACGGCAGAAGCGACGGGAGGAACUGCGGUUGGUGCCGCAGCAGAAGGUUUCUUAUGAUAUUGUACGGAAGUUGCUGGACUUGGGAGAUAACAGCAGCCUCGCGUAGCAGAGAGGACCGCAGGAGUGGUGGAACUAUGGCGUGUUGAGAAGUUAAAAGGCAUCAAAGUUGCAUCUACUUGGAAUCAAUCAAAUUUGGACCUAUCUAGUGAGGAAAUCAGAAUUUUCAAACGAGCCAAGGCAUAUGCUUCUGGAGGCCAUUGGCCUUUGGAUACCAGGGGAAGUCACACGUACUGUACUGUCUGUACAUGAUGAUAAACGUGAAAAUGAACCAGAAGAAGAAGAGAUAGUAGCAGGUCCACCCUUGUCCCGACAAUGUAAUGCUGAGCUCCAUACAGAUUAUGAUGGUGCCGCUGUUAGAUGGGAUUAACGCACCACAAAGAAUAUGUUGCUGAUUGUUGUCAAGCUUGUCUUGAUCAAGCUACGAACGCCAAGCCAGGGGAAUUGAAGUGCAAUAUAUGGGUUUAUUGCCCAUCGGAAUUUGGAUGCUUCUGACAAGACAAAUAUGAGCAUAAACAUCAGGAGUGCUGGUUGAAACAGGCUGACCACCCCAAACUGAACUUCAAAGACAAGUUAAGUAUUCAGAGCCUUACAAGAUGCUCGUCCCAAUGCACCUGUUGUCGUGCCGUGGAUGUCUGGUGUCACCUGUGCUUGCACUACCUCUUACCAAACGAACAGCAUCGAGACUCAGGAAUUAAUUAGACUAGUGCUGUGCUGAUCCAACCAGUUCCACCGUACAUAUUUUUUCUUUUCAUUUUGGGAAUAUACUCUUUUCUUUUUCUUCGUUUGGCCCCGGUAUAUACGAUGUAAAAGUAAAACUUAGCUUAGUCAACCUGGCAAUUGGAUUUGGUGGGUGGUGGUUGAUUG